UGGCGGCGUGCCUAAUACAUGCAAGUCGAGCGAACGGACGAGAAGCUUGCUUCUCUGAUGUUAGCGGCGGACGGGUGAGUAACACGUGGAUAACCUACCUAUAAGACUGGGAUAACUUCGGGAAACCGGAGCUAAUACCGGAUAAUAUUUUGAACCGCAUGGUUCAAAAGUGAAAGACGGUCUUGCUGUCACUUAUAGAUGGAUCCGCGCUGCAUUAGCUAGUUGGUAAGGUAACGGCUUACCAAGGCAACGAUGCAUAGCCGACCUGAGAGGGUGAUCGGCCACACUGGAACUGAGACACGGUCCAGACUCCUAC
rnacentral:rRNA from 1 species